rnacentral:rRNA from 1 species
UACGAAGGGGGCUAGCGUUGUUCGGAAUUAUUGGGCGUAAAGAGCUCGUAGGCGGCUUGUCACGUCGGGUGUGAAAGCCCGGGGCUUAACCCCGGGUCUGCAUUCGAUACGGGCAGGCUAGAGUGUGGUAGGGGAGAUCGGAAUUCCUGGUGUAGCGGUGAAAUGCGCAGAUAUCAGGAGGAACACCGGUGGCGAAGGCGGAUCUCUGGGCCAUUACUGACGCUGAGGAGCGAAAGCGUGGGGAGCGAACAAG